AAAGAGCUACUCAGUACUCCCUGCGGUGCUGGCAUUGCUCGGCCUAGCCCUCCGUUAUCUCUUUCAAUAUUUCAGCACCAUCCUCCCUCCCCUGAGAGGCCCGGUCAGGUGAAGUGUUUAGGAAGAACUAGCCUGCAAUAAGCAGGGCAAGGCCGUCCUACUGCAUGAUGCCGUCUACUUUAGCAACCUCCUGGGAAACCUUGUUUUUCAUCCAUGGACAGCAUUUGGCCAGAGACCGCAAGCAGAAGGCAUAGAGAUGGGAAGAGUCCAUUUUUUGGCAGUGUCUCCAAAUUCACCUCACCAAAAAUUCCAAUUAUUUUUGGUUUCUGCGUUGGCAAUGAAUUUUGCUAGGAUGGGUACCAUAUGUUCUAGUGUUUCUGAAACCAUUCCAGUUUUUACUAUUUUACUUGUCUCUGUAAUACAGCAAAAUGCCCCAGAAAUUUCAAUAUUUUAGUAUACAAACUACAUCUAUCCAACAACUUUUCACUCUAGGAAG
rnacentral:lncRNA from 10 species